GAUGAACGCUGGCGGCGUGCUUAACACAUGCAAGUCGAACGAUGAUCCCCCGCUUGCUGGGGGAAUUAGUGGCGAACGGGUGAGUAACACGUGAGUAACCUGCCCUUGAUUCUGGGACCGGCCUGGCAAACUGGGUCUAAUACUGGAUACGAACUUCUGGCGCAUGCCGUGUGACUGGAAAGCUUUUGUGGUUUUGCUUGGACUCGGCCUCCUAUCCUAUUGUUGUGGGGGUGGGGGCCUACCCCGGCGAGGACUCGAAGCCGGGCUGAUAGGAUAGAAGGACACGCUGGGACUGAACUGCGACCCAGACUCCACUCCUAGGGAACGGUGGGGAAUAUUAUCUUGUGGGCGAAAGCAUGAUGCGACGACGCCGCGUGAGGUAUGACAUGAUUCGGGUUGUAAAGCUCUUCCGACUGAGCCGAGACGAAGGUGACGGUACCUGUAGAAGAAGCACCGGCUAACUACGUGCCAGCAGCCGCGGUAAUACGUAGGGUGCGAGCGUUGUCCGGAAUUAUUGGGCGUAAAGAGCUCGUAGGCGGCUUGUCGAGUCGGCUGUGAAAUCUCUGGGGCUCAACCUCUGAGACGUGCAGUCGAUACUGCUGUGACUUGAGUUCGGGUAGGAGGAGAAUGGAAAUUCCUGGUGUAGCGGUGAAAUGCGCAGAUAUCAGGAGGAACACCGGUGGCGAAGGCUGUGCUCUGGGCCGAUACUGACGCUGAGGAGCGAAAGCGUGGGGAGCGAACAGGAUUAGAUACCCUGGUAGUCCACGCUGUAAACGUUGG
rnacentral:rRNA from 1 species